rnacentral:lncRNA from 1 species
UUGGAGGGUCCCCCUCUGGCUAGCCAGAAGCCUCCAGGCAAUUGUCCCCCUCCUGCCACCUGGAGCCACUGGAAGGUGCUCCUUAUCAGAGGCCAGCCAGGGGAAGCUGGUUUGCUGUGGUCUCCCAAAGAGACCUUGGGUGCGGUAACUAUGACCUGGACUACGAGGGGUACAGGGAAGAUGUCCCCUACAGGGUGUAUGAAUACCGCAGGAUCCCUCCACUCCUCAACCGUGUGCCUGUCAAGAUCCGGAGGACCCAUGUGGGCGUCGGAGUGAAGAGCAGCUUCAGUCCUCACAAGGCCCCCAGGAAUAGCCAACUGCCCCCAGGGCAGAUAAAACUGCGGACUAAGGAGCUGCACUCCAUCAGAGGGGAGCUGAGCCAGAUCAAAGCCCAGGUGGACUGCCUAUUGGAGAGUCUGGAGCGCAUGCACCAGCAGAGGGAGCAGCAUCCAGGGACAGAGGACAGUGAAGACAACAGGGGCCCUGAUAGUAAGGGUUCCUCAUGCAGACC